rnacentral:rRNA from 1 species
GACGAACGCUGGCGGCGUGCUUGACACAUGCAAGUCGAACGGAAAGGCCCUGCUUUUGUGGGGUGCUCGAGUGGCGAACGGGUGAGUAACACGUGAGUAACCUGCCCUUGACUUUGGGAUAACUUCAGGAAACUGGGGCUAAUACCGGAUAGGAGCUCCUGCUGCAUGGUGGGGGUUGGAAAGUUUCGGCGGUUGGGGAUGGACUCGCGGCUUAUCAGCUUGUUGGUGGGGUAGUGGCUUACCAAGGCUUUGACGGGCAGCCGGCCUGAGAGGGUGACCGGCCACAUUGGGACUGAGAUACGGCCCAGACUCCUACGGGAGGCAGCAGUGGGGAAUAUUGCACAAUGGGCGGAAGCCUGAUGCAGCAACGCCGCGUGCGGGAUGACGGCCUUCGGGUUGUAAACCGCUUUCGCCUGUGACGAAGCGUGAGUGACGGUAAUGGGUAAAGAAGCACCGGCUAACUACGUG